rnacentral:rRNA from 1 species
CCUACGGGAGGCUGCAGUGGGGAAUAUUGGGCAAUGGAGGAAACUCUGACCCAGCAACGCCGCGUGAAGGAUGAAGGUUUUCGGAUUGUAAACUUCUGUCGCGAGGGAUGAAGAUUGACGGUACCUGACUAAGAAGCCCCGGCUAACUACGUGCCAGCAGCCGCGGUAACCCGUAGGGGGCAAGCGUUAUCCGGAUUUACUGGGUGUAAAGGGAGCGCAGACGGCUGUGCAAGUCUGGAGUGAAAGGCGGGGGCCCAACCCCCGGACUGCUCUGGAAACUGUAAGGCUGGAGUGCAGGAGAGGUAAGCGGAAUUCCUAGUGUAGCGGUGAAAUGCGUAGAUAUUAGGAGGAACACCAGUGGCGAAGGCGGCUUACUGGACUGCAACUGACGUUGAGGCUCGAAAGCGUGGGGAGCAAACAGGAUUAGAUACCCUUGUAGUC